GAAUCUGAAUCAGCUGCUUUGAAGAGAUCUUUUGGCUGAGUGACUGAGCUGAGGCAUUUCUAAGGCAACUGAUAAGAACAGAGGAAGGAGCAGAUGAUGGCACCAAAUCCUGCCCUGGAGCUGAGCAGGGCUCUAAGAGCAGCCCCGUGUGGAGAAGCAGAUGGAGCUCUGCAAACUAUCAGCAUGCUGGAUUUUAUGGAGCAUUUCUAGAGCUGAGGUACAACAGUCUGGGAAUUCCCAGGUCAGGUAACCUUGCUCACUCUUGUGGAAAGCCUGAGGAGCUCCAGGAGGGAUUUAAAGAAGAGAUCUUCCUCUCCU